UAUUAAUUUACCUAUAACUAAUCAUAAUUCCAUUAUUUUUACAUAAAAAAAGAGAAUACUUCAAAAUGAGAAGAUCCUGCCAUGGAAAAGACGACUGGGCGGACAUAAAGUGGAAAGGAGGGGAAAUAACUCACACCAUGCAGCAGGACACCUUCAGCUGCGGGGUCUUUGUAAUGCAGAUGGCCAAGGAAGUUGCACAGAACUUCCCCAACAUCCCCUCCAAAACUGAUAUGGAACCUUCAAAAACACAUGGAGCAACUGCGAAAAGAAAUGGCUGAGGAUAUACUAAAAAUGUCUGAGUUCAUCAAAGCCAACAAGUGCUUCAUGUGUGCCACUGAUAAAGAACCUGGAUGUGGCCCAAAGACUGACUGGAAAUGAAGACAAAAGAGUUCAACAGAGUAAAGAACACAAACUGGAAGUGCAGUCUUUGUUGUUGAACAUGUAUGCUAUACCCCAUCCACACUGAAGAGGCUCUGAAAUGUACAUCAACCAGGGAUAAAGAGAAAGUUAACACUGUGAAAUGCUUCAUACUUAAUUGAAGUUAAGUGUCUGUUGACAUGUUGGAAAAGAUUAAAGGUCUACAAUUUCUGUUUAAUUUGUCAAU
rnacentral:lncRNA from 1 species